rnacentral:SRP_RNA from 1 species
GCCAGGUACAGAGGCUUCAUAUCUGUAGCCCCUGCUACAGGGGAUGCUGAAGCUGAUGGAUCAUUUGAGUUUAGGAGUUCUGAAUUGCAGCAGAGCUAAAAUCAAUUGGGUGACCUCAUUAAGUAUGGCACCAAUAUGGUAAGCCCCCUUGGAAGUGAGAUGGGGCCACCAGGCUUCCUAAGGAGAGGUGAACUGGCCUUGUUCAGAUAGGACAGACCAAAUCUUCAGUGCCAAAUAGCAGUGGGACUGGCUAGUUGGUGGUCACUGUAUCUCCAGUCUGGAUGAGAUAGUGACAUCCACUUUCAU